ensembl:lncRNA
CAGCCGUUCGGACCCCGGCGGGAGACAGGCCAUCCAUCACCCACCCGGCUCCCGCCCGGCUCGCCGCCGUGGCCAGUCGGGCGGCAGUUGAGGAUGGUCUUACUUCUCCAUGUUCUGAAACCAUUUUAAACCAAAACAAAAAACAGACAACCUUGCAGGAAACUCAGAGUAAAUAAAUAGUCCUUGUCUGUUAAGUGAAAUUGUUCCUUAAGGUGGAGAGACUGAGACAGGAUCCGCCAGAAGAUUACACACUAUGUACAUUAAUAGCAAAAUCAGCUAGAAGAUUGAGAGUUUCUACCAUUAGGAAACAUACACAAAUACCAUCACACCCAGAAAAACCCAUCGAAGCUGUUUUGUCAAAAGUGUGCCUGAGAGGUAGGGGCUGGAAAAGAUAAAUGCAAACUGAAUCUGGGGGACAUCUCCUCCUGAAGAGGAGAAAAAAAAAAGUUGUGCACAGGAAUGUUCCUUUUUAAAAAGAAACCCCUUCGGAGGCACAGAACUUGCCUGCCCGCUCUGAAGAAACAAGGUGGAUUAUUUCAGCUCUCUGGGGCUUGGAACGUGUGUGUGCAAGAGCACCCUGAUAGCUGCAAUAAUAAACAUGUCCAGCUGCAAGAGCUCUGCCUAACAAGCCUGGACAACACAGUCUGAAUUCCUUUCCUUUGACCAUCUUAGAUGUCCCCUGCGAGAGGGGAGUCAGGGAGCCAGCCCUGGAAGGGUCCUCCCAGACCCCCACAGCCCCGCGCCUCCCCAGAAACACGCGCCCUCCCCCCAGCCCGCCUCUCCACUUUUGUUUUAUUUACGAAUAUGUUGCCAGAAUUCCAAUGAGUUAUCUAUUCUGUGGCCCCGUCAAUUUUCCCACCGAGGCCUUGUCGCCGGCUGACUCAGGGUCCAGUCGCAACAGUGAGAAGAAAAGACCAGAGCAAAAGAAUUCUUUUCAACUUUUUUUUUUUUUUUUUUUAG